GGCUGCCCGGCCGGUGCUGCUCACCAGGAAAGAAUGCAGACCACACCUACGCUCCUGCCCAAGCCGGGGCGGGGCGGCUCGGCCUGGGCCACCGACUCAGAGUAAGGAAGGAAGGGAGGCAGCUAGGCUCGGAACCUGACUUACCACCGCACCCGCACCCGCCCCCGCGCCCGCGCCCGCGCCCGCGCCCACCUCAGGAGCGUUUCCAGCGCGCCCUCGUGCUUGUCCAGCGGGCGGCCGAGGGCAGCUCGGCGCAGCUUGCUGAGCUCCUCCGCGGCGCGGCAGUACUGGGCCUGCUCCUCCCCGCCGCUCGGAUACGUCUGCUGGAUGAACUUCACCAGCGGCUUGGCCAGGUCCACCUCCGAGGUCUUUUUCAGCUGCACCGAGAUGAACGUCGCCAUAAUGAGCACCCCGGCCGCCGUUCGGGCCAAAAAGACGGCGGGACAGUGACUAGGGCCGAGGCGCGCCGGGCACCGGGCGACGGACAAGCGGACCGACGGGCUGACGGACGUUCGGUCGGCCGGCGCUUCGGAUCUGUCCACUUCCGGGAGCUCCGGCGCAGGCGCACUCGGAGGGGCGCGCGCGCGCCGCACGCGGUCACGUGAAGGUGUCGCCGCGGCGUUGCUCACCUGGUCCCGUCGGCGCGGUGAGAUCCUGGCUUUCUUGAUUUGCGGAAUUCUCCCCUUUCUCUUUACCCCGGGGUGGACUGGACACUUUCACGUAAGAAUAACUACUGCUCCACUGGAACGGCUCCCCGGUGAAGUACUCCUGUCAGUUACCUGCCCAAGACCUUGCAGCCUCCGGGUUAUUUUGACCAAUGAUAGUUCAUUCAGCUAUUGUUGACGGUCUGCUGUGUACAUGGUCCGGGUGUACAGUGAACCUGGGUAGAUAAGUUAUCUGCCUUUUUGCAGUUUACAGUCAGGGAAAGUAAAAGAAUAAGACAGCAAAGAAUGUGAAUGACCCCAUACUCAUACCUCUACUGAUCCUAUGGGAAGAAGCUACAUCCUAGGAACUCUGUCCAGAGGUUCCAAGUUGUGACCAGCAACUCUGUGAUUAGAGAAACACCAGUGAGGAGCAAGUUUGGGAUUUAAUGUAAGUUGCUGUGUAUGGUAGAUGUUACAGUCCUACCUCCCAUGUACCUUCACCCAUUCACUCUUCCCUGAUCUUCACCUUGUUAUCCUUAACUCUCUUUGUUUUGUGUCUUAAGGCUGAAGAUAUAAGGAUGUGGCUCCGACCUUAGAUCAUUAGUGUAAUCCCAUCCUCAAGCCCAAGUAGUUAAAAAAAAAAUGACACAAUAUUGACUAUUGAACUAUAAAAAGAGGUUUGCCAGAGGUAUCAGAUGACACCUUUUUACUGUUUUGAGAGAAUUUUUGAAAGUCAUCUCUCUUUCCCUAGUUGUGGAUGAAGAAACAUCUCUGUAUGUCAGGGUUCUUGUACACAAUAGAAAUGAACUGUGGAUAGUCUUAAGCAGGAAAAAGGUUUUAGUAAAGCCCAUCAGGGAGUUCAGAGAAUCAAGCCUUACAACCACACAGCUGAAUAUACCAUAUUACAGACUGCUUCAGAGAAAACAUCUCUGCUGCUCCAUGGAGCAUAAACACCACAGUGCCUGAGGAUGCUGGGCCCUGAGGGCUUCCAUCUGAACCUCCGCGGUUGCUGCUUCUGGAGAUAGUACUUCCAUCCUGGCUAGGAGGGUUUCUGCAUGGCUUUUGCAUCUUCUGUCACUAGAAUCCACGGAGCUGCAAUAGAGUCUUAAGAAACAGAAUUUCUGAAUUCCGUGUUGAAGGAAGUAAGGACUCCAUCUGAUGAGAUGGAGAAUUGCAUAAAGGGAAGGUUUUCAAAGACUUCAGACUUGCAGCCAUGAAGAGUACAUGUAUCAAAAAAAAAAAAAAAAUACGUGCACGUAUCCACUCUACACUGGGAGUUGUGGUCAGCCAUCUUG